GUGAAAGUGACCAGCCUUUGUUUUGACUGCGGAGAAAAACAGCCCAGUUGGGGUUCACAGCCUGUGGUCCGCACCUCGGGAACACAAGCGACUAGACUCGGCUCUGAAUUGGACAGUGCUAAGAAAUGGGAUCCUAAACACAUUUGGAACUAGCAGUGGAUCUGUGGGUGCAGCCUGGAUCAGACUAAGCAUCUGCCUCUCUGCCUGCUCUGUCCCACCCCCACUCGUUGGCCACAGGGCUCCCUAAACAUUAUGCUGAAAGGAGGAGAUGCGUGUGCAGUGCUCAGUACAAAAUUCAAGUAUAUCCAGAAGAGUAAACGGGGGGAGACGUAGGCCUGAGAAUUUGCCCUCGUGGGACCACGGAUGCAGAGCACAUUUGCAAUGGAGCUGAAUAAUUCACCAUUUGGGAGCUAUAAGGGAAAAUAUGAUCCCCCCCCUUCUGCUCCUGUAUUUCUAAACUCCCACGUGUCAAUCAUCUAGAACAACCCUUAUGCUGGAAACUGGAUGAAUCAGUUUGGCUCAGGCUCUCACUUGGAUAACUACAAUUAAAAACUAGAUACAGAGGGCAAACAAACAUCUGUUGGGUGCCUUAUUUUCAGAGGGCCCUCGACUUUGUCUUGACAGUUAACACUCUAUGGUGAAUUAUAAUCUCCACUAAUUCACCCAAGUGGUAUUUAUCUCCUCAGACCUGGUAAAAAUCCCAUGUGCUUAUUGUUGCCAUGACUUUGUGCCUUCUCCAGCCAAAGAAUAACCAGGCUUCCAUACUAUGCUUUGAACAAAAGGUUUGACUGGAAACUGACAGGCUAAUGCCAGGUGUCCUGGAUUUGUUAGGUUGCAUGCCGUGAUGAAUGAUUUCUGAACAACUUGGUAUAGACCCCUGUAAGCAGCUAAAUUACAAAAGAGCUGAAAAAGUUUCUUCACCUUGGACCUUCUGACAUCUUUUGUUUUAACUCUGCUGGCAGGCUUGUUCCUAUGACUUCAUUAACAGCCAAAUCCUGAUACAUCAAAACCAAAGUAAGAACUUCUUGUGACUUCAGGGUCAUGCUGAAUUUGCUUGUCUGGUACUGAGUGCUUAGGCCUGGUCUACGCGAAAAAGUUAGUUCAAUGCAAGUCAUCUUGGAUCAGCCUAUUUGCGCAUGUGUCUACACUCAAAUUUGUCACUGGCUGAUGUAAAUGCCCCAGUACAGCGACACAGUAAAAACACCUGCCCGAACUGCAGAGAGCCAUGGUUGACCUACUGAGGUCAAUGCAGAGCGAGUGUAGCCACUGCAUGACAUGUGUCAAUUCCAACAACCUCCACCAGCUGUCCCAAUGGACAGUGACCACCCUGGUUAUAUUUUUAAACUCCGCUGCCUAUGAGUCACAGAGACUGGAAACCACACACACACACACACACACACAAACACACACACCAGGGCCGGCUCCAGGCACCAGCGCAGCAAGCAGGUGCUUGGGGCGGCCAACGGGAAGGAGCGGCACGUCCAGCUCUUUGGCGGCAAUUCGGCAGCGAAUCCCUCAGUCCCUCUCAGAAGGAAGGACCUGCCGCCGAAGAAUGAAGCGGCGUGGUGAAGCUGCUGCUGAUUGUGAUCGCGACUCCCCCCCUCCGCCCCCCGCCGCCGCUUGGGGUGGCAAAAGUCCUGGAGCCGGCCCUGCUCCCCACUUAACUCCCCCUGUGUGCUUUCGAAAUGCCUCUUCCUGAUUGCCCAGCUUGGCGAGCACACACAGCUCACCUUUGUUACAUGCAGUUGCCUUGCCUAACUGACCAUGCCAGCUCCAUGCACACAGACGUACUAGACACAGUCCUGCCUGGAGUAGACAGAAAGUAUUGGAUUUCCUGGGCACGGACCAGCUGUAGAAAUGUGGACAUCCCUGAGCAGAUUGCAUGGGGGGGUGCAGGGAAAGGGUUAUGACAGGGAUCAGCAGCAGUGCUGUGUAAACGCGAAGGAACUUUGCCAGGAAUAUCACAAGGCCAGGGAGGCCAAUGAUGGAUCUGGUGCUGCGCCACAGACCUACCACUUCUACAAGGAACUGCAUGCCAUCCAUGGUAGAGACCUCACCAGCAACCCACAGACCACUGUGGAUUCCUCAUGGGAGCCCAAGACCCCAGCUGUGAAUGGCGAGGAGGAGGAUGGGAUGGGGGAGACAUAGCAGGGGACUCCAGCCAUGCUGUGAGCCAGGAGCUGUUUGAGGCUCCACCAAAGUCUACCAAGUCCUACCAGGCGAGCACAGAUGAGCCUAAUGAAGGGGGAAGAGAACUCAGCAGCUUUCGGCAGGGUGGCCUUGAGGGAUGCCCCCUCCUUGCCAGCAGAACACCUGACCCUGAAGAGGAGGAGAAAGAAGAGAAUGAGGGAGGACAUGAUUUGUGAGAUCCUGCAAGCCAGUGAGGCAUCAGACCAUGAACAAAGGGCUUGGAGAGCCAGCGUGACGAACAGCAUGGAGAAGGAAAGAGAGAACAAGUAAAAGGCUCCAGGAGUUGCAGCAGGAAAUGUAGCAGAAUGUAGUAGGUCUUCUCAGUCAGCAAAUUCAAGUGCUGCAGGCCCUGAUUGACCUACGGGUCCAGAAAUCCCAGACCUGUCCAUCUUUUGCAGUCCUUGGAGAAUUCCAUGGUCGCUGCUCCUUGCAACUCCUAAUAUACCACAUGGCAUCACAGGGCACAUCCUUACCCCUUCCACUCCAUGCCAGGGACAGUAAGGAAAACCACAGCUUUACAUACACUGACCUGUGAGAACCACGGCAGGUGUAUGUGUAGCCACACUGGACUAUGCUUGUUUCCUCAACAGGACACACAUGUUUAUAAUUUUAAACUUUCACCCCGUUAUGUUAAAAACUUGUGUAACAGGGCCUAUGUGUUUUCUGGUUUUUGCACAUUGAUUUUCUGCAGCAUUGUUUCUUUUUUCCCACUCAACUUGCGUUUUUUGGAGAAUCAAAUCACCUCUAUUAGUUCUCAACAAACAUUGCAGAAUGCAUAGUGGUACACAAAGCAGACAGUAUUUGUAAAUACACGCCAAGCAUCAUAGAAUUCAUAGCUACAGAAAAACACCCAGUUAUAUUCAUAAAUGUACAGUAAGCACUUCAAGCAACCCGUAAAGAUCUAGGCCCACAGACCAGUACUGUGGCUGACAGUUCAAGUGCUGUUUCAAAGCUGCUCUCAACUGCAUAUUUCCAUAGUGGGGUCUUGUUAUGAACCAUGAGUCUGGCUGUUCAGAGUCAGUCAGCAGCUGCUUCACGUCUGCCCUCCACCCUGGUGGCAGCUUUUCCCCCAUGGCCUCAUAGAUAUUAUGCAGGACACAAGAGGCAGCUAUAAACAUUGGGAUAUUUUUCUCACUGAGCUCCAAACUAGUGAGUAGACACUGCCAGCAUCCCUUCAAUCUACCAAAAGCACAUUCAACUGUCAUUCUGCACCUGCUGAGCUGGUAAUUGAAUCUUUCCUUGGUGCUGUCCAGGUAGCCAGUGUAUAGCUUCAAGAGCAAGGGUUAGGCUGGGUCCUCUAGCAUCAUUAUUGGCAUUUCAAUAUCACCAGUGGUAAUUCACUGGUCAGGAAAGAAUGUCCCUACUUGCAGAUUUCUGAACAACCGUGUGUUCUUAAAGAUACGAGUGUCAUGCAUCUUCUCUGACCAACCGACACUGAUGUCGGUGAAGCCACCCCAGUGAUUCACCUAGACGUGCAUAACCAUAGAAAAGUUUCCUUUUCUGUUGUACUCUGUGGCAAGAUAGGCUGGUGCCAGAAUAGAGAGUUGCAUGCUGCCUAUCGCCCCACCACUGUUCAGGAACGCUCACUGCUGCAAAUCCACCCACUAUGUCCUGCACAUUGCCAAGAGUUACAGGCCUGCAUAGCAGGAGAUAAUUAAUGGUUCUAUGCACUUGCAUAACAAUGGCCCCACUGUGUAUUUUCCAACUCUAAAAUGAUUUCUCACUGACCAGCAGCAAUCUGGUAUUGCAAGCUUUCAGAGUGUGAUCACCACUCACUUCUCCAUUGCUGAUGCAGCUCUCAUUCUGCUGUCCAUGCACUGAAGGGCUGGGGAGAACUCAGUGCACAGAUCCAGUCAUAUGGCCUUGUGCAGCCAAAAGUUCUACCGCCACUGUGCAUUGUCCCAAACCUGCAUUAUGAUACGAUUCUGCCAGUCAGUGCUUUUUGCUCGGGUCCAGAAGCAGCACUCCAUCAUCUGCAGCUGCUCUGUGAAAGUCACCAACAACCUUGAAUUGUUUUUCACUAUGUCCCUCAGCAAACUGUCCUCAAAGAAAUUAUCAUGUUCCUGGUUAUUGUGCUUCCUGGAGGUCUUCAAAUACAGGCAGGAGCGCCACCAGCUUUUCUUCCGCCCUAGGCAGCGGAAAAUCCCGCCCCGAAAUGCCACCCCCCACAGAGGCAGCGGAAGGUCCCGCCGCCGAAAUACCGCCACGGUCGCCGCCUCCCAAAUUGUAGGGCCCUAGGCACCCGCCUAGGUCGCCUAAUGGGUUGCACCGGCCCUGAAUACAGGAGAAGUGUGUGUCAUUCACAAGAACAUUAUAGAGCUUUGCAGACUCUGGGCUUCAGCCAGAGAUGGCAGAGACUGAAAAGUGUCAUGCAAGUUUGGGAGGGGGGCGUUUAAAAAGGUUUGAAAAUUAUGGGCUCUGGAUGGCAUGAUGGGAUGGAGAAAGUUAUCUGCUGGGAACGUAACCCCUAGCUCCCAGAGAUCCCCGGAUGAGUCAUUACUAUCUCACAACACAUUGCAAAAAUGGCCAAUAUGGCAUGGUGCCAGAUGGCAGAGCAUGGCACUUUGGAAUAUGCUCCCGUAGUGCACUGCACUUUGCAUUAACACAAGCAUGCCUGGUGAGUAGUCACAGUGCUGACACAAGUAGCCAUGUGACCGAGCAAUAUACAAACGUUGGCGGCUGUAUGCCGACGUAACUUUGUAGUGUGUAGAUUUGGCCUUAGGAAAGCGUUGGCAAAAGCAAUGGCACUUAGCAAGGCCUUUCCCUGCCCAAAACAAAGUAAAGACCUGUGCUAAAUUAAAUAUUCCCAUGUUUGUUCUUCUAUGGAAUGGCUUUUGCCUUCAGUGAUCCACCUUGUUAAUGAGACACCUGGCUGUUGAGUGAAUGCAAACCAUAGAAAGAAGAGCUCCCCAUAGUGACUUUAGGUAAUUCUUGUAGAUGUAGAUGUAACUGGCCAGAUCCUCAUAUCAUGCAAAUCGAUGCAGCUCUAUUAACUGUAAUGAAGCUAUGCUAAUUUAUACCAUCUGAGGAUCUAGCUCAUAAUGGUAACGGUAGCCACAGUGGUCCCUGAUCUGUUUGGUAUGAUUAGGCCUAGGAAAUAAAGUUAAUUAUCUUACAAACA